rnacentral:siRNA from 1 species
AUGCGAAACUCGGACUAUCCAGUC